UACAGAGGUCUCAAGCGUUGUUCGGAUUCAUUGGGCGUAAAGGGUGCGUAGGUGGCGGGGUAAGUCAGGUGUGAAAUCUCGAGGCUCAACCUCGAAACUGCACUUGAUACUGCCUUGCUCGAGUACUGGAGAGGAGAUUGGAAUUCUCGGUGUAGCAGUGAAAUGCGUAGAUAUCGAGAGGAACACCAGUGGCGAAGGCGAGUCUCUGGACGACUCCUGACACUGAGGCACGAAAGCUGGGGGAGCAAACAGG
rnacentral:rRNA from 1 species